ACGGGUGAGUAAUACAUCGGAACGUAUCCUGGAGUGGGGGAUAGCCCGGCGAAAGCCGGAUUAAUACCGCAUACGCUCUGAGGAGGAAAGCGGGGGACCUUCGGGCCUCGCGCUCAAGGGGCGGCCGAUGGCGGAUUAGGUAGUUGGUGGGGUAAAGGCCUACCAAGCCGACGAUCCGUAGCUGGUCUGAGAGGACGACCAGCCACACUGGGACUGAGACACGGCCCAGACUCCUACGGGAGGCAGCAGUGGGGAAUUUUGGACAAUGGGGGCAACCCUGAUCCAGCAAUGCCGCGUGUGUGAAGAAGGCCUUCGGGUUGUAAAGCACUUUUGUCCGGAAAGAAAUCAUCGGGGCCAAUACCCCUGGUGGAUGACGGUACCGGAAGAAUAAGCACCGGCUAACUACGUGCCAGCAGCCGCGGUAAUACGUAGGGUGCGAGCGUUAAUCGGAAUUACUGGGCGUAAAGCGUGCGCAGGCGGUGCUGUAAGACCGAUGCGAAAUCCCCGGGCUUAACCUGGGAACUGCAUUGGUGACUGCAGCGCUGGAGUAUGGCAGAGGGGGGUGGAAUUCCACGU
rnacentral:rRNA from 1 species